CCAAGAGGCUCUGGGAGACAGACCCAUAGUCUCCUAUAGACAACCACCUAACCUCAAGAUGAUUCUUACCAACAACCACAGGACAUACCACACUUUUGCCAUUUGUCUUUCACCUUGUGUUCUUGAUCAAACUUCUACCAUCACCUACUUUCAUCUGCUACCAUCUGUUCUAUUUUCUGUCCUUCCUCAUUCUGUCCUGUAUUCUCCAGCCAGCCUCCCUUUACCCUCUUGUUCUGUUACAAGCUAAACUCUAUCUUUUUCCUAGCUACUUAUACCUUUGUCUUUCUGCAUUACAUGCCCCAAUGUUGUAAACUACUGAGUAGACAAGGAGGAGCAUUUUCAGUAGGCAUAUGUUACACAUUUAAAUGAAAGAAGAUUUCAAAACAUGAAAAUGAAUUUGAAAACAUCUCGUCUACAUGGCAUACUCCUUCCUCCCAAAGCAUGAGAGAUUUUAAAAGCAGAUUUAAGCUGAUACCAAUUAGGGAGUCCCUCUCACUCAAUUACUUGAUUGUGAGUCUUGGAACAGGUCUAAAUGAUUACUUAAAUUUAUUCUCCAGUUUAAUUCAAUCAAAUGCUCACAUUGCAGGAAGUACAGUAGUUAUACAUAAAAGACUGGCUGCAUUGUAUUAGAAAUCUAUUUAGAUUUUCACAUUCUGUGUUUGGUUGGACUGAAACAGCUCCAAUUUGCACUUCAUCCUUCUGCAUUUUCCAUUUCUAUUACCCUCCCCUGCACAUAACUCCAUGGGACGAGCUGCUUCUGCAAAUUUGGCAGCAUCUUAGCUGCUUCUGUUUAUAAGGAAAGAUCCCAGCACCUAGAAGGAGGAGAAAGCACGACUGAGGUUUCUCAUUAUUAUAUUACUCUUGAACAGUCCAGAGAAUUUCCUGGAUGACUAGCACAUUAUUGAAUGUGAAGUUGUCUUUCUGUGUACCCUGUACUGGUCUUUCCCUUGUGGGAGGGAACAGAGGUAUUGAAAGGACUACUUUGCCCAUCUACACCACAAACACCUUCUCCCACCUCAAAGAGAUUGGAAGCCUGUCUUCUUGAGAGCUCAAUCACAGGGAUACCAUGAAUGUUUCCAGGAGAAUACAUUCUCUCCGUGCUCACAGACAGAAAGCUCCAGCACACACUGGGGAGAACUGGCAGAAUUCCUGUGGCUCCAAACAGUGCUGUAGUGAUGAACUAGUUACACUCCAUACACUCUACACAGUGAUCAUCAUGGUUAUCUUAAUGGCAAUUUGGGGAGCCUGGGCAAGGAAAGAUGCCUAUUUAUAGCUGAAAAAUGUGUCUCUGACAAAAACUUAGAGACUCUCAUGAGGAUUAAAAAGACAAAAGACGGAACAAAACUCACAAUCUUUGAAAAUUAAAGUUCAUCUUUAAUUGUAAAGGCAAAAUUGCUUCUGCCAGUGGAUUUUAAUCUACUUUGUUUGAAAAAGUACAGAACAAGACUUCAGUGAGAAAAUGGAAUAUUAGUAAUAUAACACUGUUCAGUGUAACAAUGGUAUACAUGCAUAAAUGAAACUGCAUUUUAAAUACAAUCUGAUGGGGAAUAUGAUUAGAACUUUUAUUUGCCAUGGUAUUUAUGUGUGUUCCACUUUUUGACUUGAGUUGCUCGUUUGUUUGCAUUUUUAUAUUAUAGAAGAGGUUGUGAUAAGACUGGUGGGGCCUACCUGGUUACGAGCAAGUAAAGACCUCUGAUUUAGCUGAGUUCUCAACUCAGUUGCUAGAAUGAAGGAUUAUAGUUUGAUUUAGGCAGUUCUGUUUGGUGUUAUGUUAAUGUAGAAAUCACUUUUUUCUUAAAAUCUGUACAGGCUCAGGAAUAAACAGUGGAGAAAAC